rnacentral:lncRNA from 1 species
CGACAAAUAAAGAAGUCAUAAAGGAAGCAAGAGAAUACUCAGGGAGACCAAAAAUGGGUGACUUUAAAAACCAUGCAGAACUGGGCAUAUGUGAUGAUAUCAAGAAUGAGGGGAGCUCAUAAGUUCAGCUACCCAAAAUAUUCAUCCAUAAAGCCUUACACCUAAUACUUUUAAUUUGAGCUGAAAAACUCAUUAUAAUGGAUCUUCACAGAAAGGGCAAGAGAGAAGAGAAGGAUAGCAAUGAAGUCACCAAAACCAAAAAGUAUGGAUGGAAAGAGAGGGAAAAAUGAAUUAUCAGAAAUAAUGAAUUUGUAAGUUAAACCUUAAAAUCUAGAGAGAAGAAAAAAACUAGUUAAUAAAUUGAAAAUUCUAUUCCA